AUUUAAAAAUUUUUUUUCCAGAUGAACUCUUCCUUAGUAAAUUACCUGUUUUUAAUUUUUUUGCGGAAUAUUUACGAAGUUAACGAUAUAGAGUAUAUUUAAUUGUUAAAUGCUGUCUCAUCUGUGUCCAGUUUGUCUGUUAUGUUUGAAAUACAUUAUUUUUCAGAUCUUAUAGUCAAUAAAUCUUUGUAGAUUGUAAAAAAACGUGUUCUGGGUUAUGAAACACUGUUUUAAUACAAAUACAAGGAUGGUAAAUUCAUUUCACGAUGACAACAAGUUUUCAAAAGACGAGAGAAAAAAUGUGCCGAAAUCGCCCAUUAUAAUACACGGAAAUUUGAAUUUCGCGGGCGUUCUUCAGGCUGAGCCGCUAGGAUCGCUGCAGUCAUGUGUCGCCAGCGCUCGCCAUGUUAAAUGGCAUGAGUUUCCUAUAUUGUUCUACAAUAUUUUUGCUUCUACAAUAUUUGAUAUUACCUCUAUGUUGUUGACAGAAAAAUAUUUGCACCGGGUUGUGUUUGUUACCAACGACUAUAUAUUAUAUUUGUUACCAAAUGUUUGGAGUAAUCACACGAUAUGUAAAACUCAAGACCUUGUGUAAAACUAAAUCUUUUUCUUUCCCAAAAUCAGCUCAGGCAUGAUGAACUCUGAAGAGUCUAAGGAUGAUGAUAAAAAUAAUAUUGAUAGAAUUGAUGGAGAACCACAGAUAAAAAAAAACAGACCCAGUCCAAAUGAGGUACAAAUAAUUUUGUGGUAAUGCUUAUGUAAAUACGUAUGUAUUAUAGCAUGUUGGUAUUUUGCAGGGACCGGAAAGUUACUUUUAAAAAGUAACUCAGUUACAGUUACAAAUACUCCAUUGGAAAGACUUACAGUAAGUGUUCAGAAGGCACCAUAAUCUUUCGCAUAUUGAAUUUUUCCAAGGAGUUAGCUUGUGAUAAUUCUACUAUUUACUCACAUGUUGAGUAUAUAAACAACAUUCCAUGGAAAAUUUGUGUCAAAUGUACGCCUGGCAGAAAACUUGGUGUGUUUCUUUAUCUCGAAGAUAGUGAGUUAAGUAGCAAUGUAGAAGUGUAUACAGAGUAUAAGUUCAGCCUCGUAAACCAGGUGAAUGGUUUGAAAACCAUUUCAAAACCUCCUCGGUUCGAUAUUGUAAAAGUAGGCAAAGCUUAUGGAGAUUCUUCAUUUGUCUCAAUGGACGAAAUAAUGCACUCUUAUAACAAUUUUAUUGUGGAUGAUCAAAUAAUCCUUGAAGCCUAUGUAACUUGUGGAAGUCUGAUCUCAAAUAGGAUUAAAAAUGAUUUCUUUAAAAACAUUUCUCAACGAGAGAAGGAACUGAGUCAGUAUAUGAGUAUCCGUGUCAAUUACAUCAUUAGAAAUGGUGUUGGGAGUGAUUGUGAACUCAUCUUCAUCAAAAAUGGAGAGGAAAUUGCAAAGAAAGCUUCGAAAUCAAUCCUUGCUAGAGUCAGCCCAGUGUUCGAGAAAAUGUUUUUUGGAAGUCCGCAGAUCAGCAAUCGAUUCAACAUCACAAAUGUGGAAGAGGAUAUUUUUGACGUGUUGCUACUGCACGCUUAUGGUGGUAAGUGGGACUUCAAGUCUAUGGACAGAGCCGUUGCUCUGUACUUGGCAGCGUGCGCCUACGAAAUGGAAGACUUGCAGCACGUCUGUAUGGAAUACGCGUGGCCGCGUGUGCUGAGUGACGUGUGGAUGUUUCUGGACAUGUCUGGAGUGCCUGAGCUCGAGAAUAUGAAGAAUGCAGCGGUAAGGGUGUUUGCUAGAUGUGCUUCGGAGGGUUUCAUCAGCGAGCAGUUCACGAACAUCUCCUACGAGUCUCUGGUGAGUGUUGUUAGUCAGGUGCAUAUGAACGUGAGGUCAGAACUAGACAUUUUUGACGGAGUCAUGCGCUGGUCCACGGCUCAGUGCACAAAGAGGGAACUUGAAAUAACUCAAGAAAAUUUGCGUAGUGUUGCAGGAGAAUCCAUAAACAUGGUUCGAUUUCUGUCCAUGACUCAGGGGGAGUUUGAAUCAUCUCCGAUGCUCAGUUCUAUUUUGUCUGCUGAGGAAAAAGUGUUGAUCCUAACACGUAUCAUUUACAAAAAGAAAACAAGUUCAAUGUUUCGCCUGUGUUGUCUUACAAAGCCACGUUUAAAGCUGUAAUUUUUCCUUCUUCCCUCUAAAGGACAUUUAGAAAAUUAUGAUUCUUAACUAUUUAAUACUAUUUUUUUACUGUAUAAAAAAGUAAAAUUCCUGUAAAAUUUAGUUUUUUUGAGAUGUGGCCCUAUUAUUCUCGGUGUGUGAUGUGAUCUUUGUCAUUGAUGUAUGCCAUUUUUUUUUUUGUAAUUUUUGAGAAAUUUAUUUUAAUUUCAGUGACUACAAAUAAUGAUGGCUGGCAUUGUGCAUAAAUAUUUAAAAAUGCAAGAUAAAAUUGCAACAAAACACACUUAACUGAUAAUGAAACACUAAACUACACUGUUUAGUUUUCGGAGGAAGGGCUGGGAAAUUUGAUACACCAGUGAGCCACCAUCGCUAAUGGGCAACUAUCUGUAUAUUCCAUUACUUACUGUACAGUCAUGGGCGUAAAUCUUGAAUUGGGGGAGGGGUGUCUCUGGAAUUAAAAACUCAACUUUGGGGCCAGCUUGUGCUUGCAAAGUUGCAACUGUAAAAUGGGAAUGAAAAACAUUAUUCCAUGGGCAUCCUACAGAUAUUAGCUUCUGUGUACAGGUAUUUUUUAAAUUUAAAACUUUAAAUUUACUGUACAGUAAGUUUGCAUGACCAUAUUUUCUGUGUAUCUGUUUGAGACUAUUUUCUUCUGAGAAGAUAGUAGAAGUCAUAAUAUUCCAGUGGCUCCAGUAUUGUAUAAUAAUGCCUUGAGCUAAGUUACUUUUAUAAACACUGAUUUUACUUAAUUUUAUUUUGAAACUCAUAUUUUGUCAUGAUUGUAUUGUAUUUAGACCUAGUUUGUCCAUAUGCUAGUGAUAAUUGUAUGACAUAUUUUUUAUAAAUUUGAUUUGAUGAAAAGAUUUUUUUUCUCAAUAUUUUUUGGAUUUAAGUUUUUAGAAAGAUGGGUCUAAAAUAAAUUUUUCAAUAAGUUAAUUUUUAGUCCCUUGACUUAUAUUUGUAGACAAAAGUUCAAUUUUUUUGUUGGCACAUGAUUCAUGUUUAUAUUCACUGACAGUUAAACUAUAUUGUCAGUAUUUCCCCCCCCCCUCCCUUUUUUCCCAAAAAAAUAAACCUCGGUAGCCACAGUUCUGUACAGUAAAGUCUGGAAUACAAUGUAACUAUGUACCAAUCAUCACACUUUUUAAAAUCAGAUCUUGGGGGCUUGUUUAGUUUCCUGAGUAAACCAUAUAUUGGCAAUAUUUUAUACUGCAGUAGAAAUUAUUUUUGUUGUUAACUAAAACAUUUACAUGGAUAAUGUGUAAAUUACAAUACAUAUUGUAAGGUCAGUGUUGAUAGAAAUGGUAAUAUGUUAAUAUGAAUAUGUACAGUGAAGAAUAGGUCAUUUGUGAAAGUAUUAUUAAAUUGAGUUUUGGUGUAAUUGUAGUGUAAUGUUUCUUAUUUGGUACAUGUAUUUAUGCUUCCAGGUAUUAUUGGUAGAAAUUUAUUUCAUGGUAUGUGAAUACAUUUGCCAGUUAAUGCAGUUCAUUUUACAAUAGUAGCCAAAAAAAAGUUUCCUUUUUUUGUUCUUAUGCAAUUGAAAUGAAAGAAGGCAAAUUUAGAUAGAGGCAGCUGCAUCUGAAAUAUCUGUAGUCUUUGACAAAAAGCAGCAGUUUCAAGAUAUAUUAAGUUUUGUUUGUGAUUAUAAAACAAUUGUCAUAAAUAAACACCAAUCAUAUGAAAUAAAAGUUAACUAAAAUGAAGAGUUACAAAAGAUUAUCAGAUAUCGUCAGUCUGCAGUAUUGUUCUGAUUUUGUGUGACCAGUGUCAAUUGCCUAUCAAUUUUGAAAAAGUUUAUGACUUUUUAUAAUGUCUAUCUUUAGAAAGACUGCAUCUUUAUAUGGUAAGUUCAUUAUGUUCUGUUUAAAAUAGUGCAAUAGAAUAGGCCUAUAGUUAAUUUUUGUUAAAAUGCUUUUUCUUAGAGCUUUAAAUUUUUUCCAAAAAUUUCUUAAUUUUUUAACACGCUUUUAUUAGUUUUACGUGUAGCUAACUAUGUAAUCAAAUCUGGGAAGUAAAUUUUAACCUACUUCUAAUUGUCGUAUUGAUUUGAAACUUUACAAGUAUAUAUAAUCCUGAUAAUACAAUACAAUAAUUUCAUGACUGGGCAAUAAUCAUGCGUUUUGUGUAUCCAUAAGGCCGGGGUAUGGUGGCAAAUUUGCCCAGGGGUAGGCUGCCAUGCUUUCCACCCUCCCUCCCUCCCUCCCUCCCUCCCAGGAGGUUAACCCCCAAAAUUUCAAAAUUAAAUUCCUUUUCGAUUUGUAUUGUUUCAGAUCCAAGAGGCGUGUAAAAUGUGCCCGGGGGUUUGACUGUCCCCCUCCCCUCCCUGUGAGAUGGUCACUUGCCCUCAAUUUUUUGAAAUUCAGGAAAAUUGAAGUCCGUUGAUUCUGAAGUGCUCUCGAGGUCGUCAGGCACCAUCAGACCCCUCGGAUGAAUCUGGGGGGGGAUAAUCAGUUUCCUCCGAAAAUAUUGGGACUCGAAAAAAUUGAUUUUUGUAGUGCAUUUUCAAGGAGUAUUAUGAAGUGGGACGUCUGUGGGUUAACCCUCCCCCCAUCCUUUCCAUGGGGAUGGGUCCUGGCCCCUUUCAACCAACAAAAGGUUCUUUCUCUCAAAAAUAUUAACUGCGUCACUCUUUUGGAGAACAUAUCACAAAAUUUAUAUAAUAUUAACUUCAGUAUUAUCAUAGAGUAAUAUUGUUUUUCAUAGAAGAAUGAUUAGUCUAUGACUAUCAGCAUGCUCUUUGUAAUUUACAGUUAUAUCUAUGCUUCUGAUGAGACAAAUUGAUCCUGUGAUGCAUUUCCAGGAAUUUAUAAAACAUUUUAUUAAAUAAGAACUAAAACGCUGCAUAACGUAUUUUUUUUUAUAUAAUAAGCUUAAAAUAAGAACAAGUAAAAAACAAAACAAUUAAUUGUAAUGAAAAAAAAUUGUGAGGUCUUCCCUUUUUUCUUUUUCAUAGUGACUCUGUCCUAAAGAAUAGCCAUUUGUGGUAGAAAAUUUAAGAUACAUAUGAAGCAUGAGUUGUUCUCUUCUUUAAUUUUCUUUAUGAAUAUCCCAAUAUCCUAAUGAAUUGACAUUAAUGUUAAAAAUUUUUAAGACAACUGAUAUCAAGCACACCAAGUUUUUUUUUCAUUACAAUUGUUUUGUUUAUUACUUGAUUUUUAUUUUAAGCUUAUUAAAAAAAUUACAUUUUACAGAGUUAUAGUUCAUUCUUUCGCUUUUUAACAAAUUACUUAAAUUAAAGGAUUAUUUUUAUACUUUUUAGUACAUACAACAUAAGUGUCAUUUUUUAGUUUUUUAAAUAUAAUUUUAUUUUGGUUAUAAAGGAGUACAAAUUCUUGCAACCUAACAAUGGAACAACCAAAAAAGGAAUUAAUUAUUUAUUAUUGAUACAAACAAAACACUAAACUGUAUUUAAAAUUUAAGCGUGAUAUAAUUUUUUUUAACUGCAUGGAACAUGUUUUAAUAUAUUUACAGUACUGCUACAAAAUUAUUAUUCUGUUCUAUCUACAUAUUUUACACUUAAAUGAUACAUAUUCUACACCCUCACAGGAGGUGGUGUAAAAGUUGUGGUUGGAAGGCAAUUACAAAUAUGAAGAUACAUGUUAAGACCAUCUGAAAGAUAUUGUUUAGCAACAGUUAGUGAAUAGCCUCAUUUACCAAGUUAUUAUAUUUCAUUUUCUAUUAUUAUUGUCAGUAUUUUGAUAUCAGAGUUAAAAUGGGAGCUAUUUGACUUUUUUUUAAUACUACAUAUUUAACAAAUGAAUAUGGAGGGAAACUGCAAAAGAUGCAUGAGUGAACAGGUGUACAAUACUCACACAUGCACCCACCCAUGCACACAUGGGCGUAAAUCUGGGAUUAGGGGGCAUGGGUCUGGGUUCCUCAUGAAAUUACAAAACCUCAGUGUAAAGGUCCACUUGUGCUAUCUGCACAAUCAUAAUAGUGAAAUGGGGAUGUAACUCUGUCCCACUUAGAAAUCCUAAAGGUGAUUAUCACCACUGCAUGCACACACAAAACACACCGCACACCACACUACACACAACACACGCACAAAGUAGUAUACAUAUAUCUCAAUUUGUAAGAUUGUAACUGAAGAGAACUUUUAAACAACAAAACAGCCAUUGGAAAUAAU